GAUGAACGCUGGCGGCGUGCCUAACACAUGCGAGUCGAACGGAAAGACGAUGAGCUUGUUCCUCUAACGUUAGCGGCUGGCGGGUGAGUAACGCGUGGAUCACCUACCUAUAUUACGGGGAUAAUUACGUAAAACCGGUGCUAAUACCACAGCAUAUCUUGAACCGCAGGGUGCAAUAGAUAAUGACGGUUUUGCUGUCAGUACUAGCUGAUUUCGCGCCGGAUUAGCUGGUUGGUAAGGUAACGGCUUACCAAGGCAACGAUGCGUAGCUGACCUGAGAGGGUGAUCGGCCACACUGGAACUGAGACACGGUCCAGACUCCUACGGGAGGCAGCAGUAGGGAAUAUUGGGCAAUGGGCGAAAGCCUGACGGAGCAACGCCGCGUGAGUGAAGAAGGCCUUCGGGUCGUAAAGCCCUGUUAUUGGGGAAGAACAGCUGUGGAAUUAAACAUGGCGGUUUUGACGGUACCCAAUCAAAAAGCACCGGCUAACUACGUG
rnacentral:rRNA from 1 species